rnacentral:rRNA from 1 species
AUUGAACGCUGGCGGCAGGCCUAACACAUGCAAGUCGAGCGGAUGAAGGGAGCUUGCUCCUGGAUUCAGCGGCGGACGGGUGAGUAAUGCCUAGGAAUCUGCCUGGUAGUGGGUGAUAACGUCCGGACACGGGCGCUAAUACCGCAUACGUCCUGAGGGAGAAAGUGGGGGAUCUUCGGACCUCACGCUAUCAGAUGAGCCUAGGUCGGAUUAGCUAGUUGGUGGGGUAAAGGCCUACCAAGGCGACGAUCCGUAACUGGUCUGAGAGGAUGAUCAGUCACACUGGAACUGAGACACGGUCCAGACUCCUACGGGAGGCAGCAGUGGGGAAUAUUGGACAAUGGGCGAAAGCCUGAUCCAGCCAUGCCGCGUGUGUGAAGAAGGUCUUCGGAUUGUAAAGCACUUUAAGUUGGGAGGAAGGGCAGUAAGUUAAUACCUUGCUGUUUUGACGUUACCAACAGAAUAAGCACCGGCUAACUUCGUG